ACAACAACAACAAUGAGAAAAAGCACCGAGGCAAAGAUGAACCAAACAGCACCGACAACAAAUCCUACUCCAAUAAGACAACACGACUGGUUGAGGUUCCUCAUCGUGUCUCUGGGUUUAACUGCACUCAUAAUCAUCGUUGUGUCAGUCUACAUCUGGACGAGAACUAAAGGGAACAAAACACAGAUCAGUGACAAUGCUGUG